rnacentral:rRNA from 1 species
UACGAAGGGGGGCUAGCGUUGCUCGGAAUUACUGGGCGUAAAGGGAGCGUAGGCGGACAUUUAAGUCAGGGGUGAAAUCCCGAGGCUCAACCUCGGAACUGCCUUUGAUACUGGGGAUCUCGAGUCCGGGAGAGGUGAGUGGAACUGCGAGUGUAGAGGUGAAAUUCGUAGAUAUUCGCAAGAACACCAGUGGCGAAGGCGGACUUACUGGUCCGGUUCUGACGCUGAGGCGCGAAAGCGUGGGGAGCAAACAGG